AGUAGCUCAAUUGGUCAGAGCAGUCGGCUCAUAACCGAUCGGUUGCAGGUUCGAUUCCUGUCUGG
rnacentral:tRNA from 1 species